AAAUACAUAGAUAUACACACACACACACAUAUACAGUAUGUAUAUCAGUGUAUGUAUAAAAAAGUACGUAUAUAUUUACAGAGAUCUCACGCUGGUACUUCCCACCCACUGCCCGAGAUGCUGUGCCUGUUCGUGAUGCCCUGAAGCCAACACCGCUUGCAUUUUCUCUAAAUACACUUCUCUCGAGAUCUUUUUAAACCUCUUCCUUCCCUCAGUUAAACUCCGUGCCAAAGCUCGUUUUGAGUCCUAGAAGCCGUAUUUUUUUUAAUGUGUUCUGUUAUUAGAACGCAGCGUCAGAAAAUCCUCAGCUGUCCUUCCCUGACAAAACAGAUUUGGCUCUUUCUGAGGACUCGCAGUCCCUUUACGACACUGAACCACUGGAAAAAGUUUUAAACGAGAUGAGCAAAGAAAUUAUGACCUUGUUAUCAAAAUAUGCUAACAUUAUAAGUGAGACAGCAGCGAUGGAGGCUUCUUGUGUCCAGGAACUGGAAGGAAUCUUAAAAGAAGCGAGGGACAUAGACGAGGACUUAAAGCAGAAAAGGGAGAGUCUGAAACAGAGAUUCACUGUCAUGGCAAACACCCUGCAGGGAUAAAUGGAGUUCUGCAGAAGUGCAGAGCCAAACUCAGUCUAUUUUGUGUAUUCAAACAAGCCCUGAGGAGUGUUAUGGUGUCUGGUUCUUAGGUAAAUAUUUAUGGCACUCCAGGAAACCUUCAACAACUUAAGCAGCAAUUCAUACAUAGUUAGUAAAACCAGUUCUUAAUAUCUGUUUUAAAUCCUGUGACUCCAAGGUUUUCAAACACUAAAACAUAAGGAUUUUACUUGUUAACCCAUUGAACAUAGUACAGAAAUUUCCCUGUGAAACACAGAAUUUUGUAAGUGGAAAAGGACCUCAGAUUAUUUAAUUAUAAUAAUUUUCUGGCUUUGUUUUAGUUUUCAGGGGUUUUUCUUUCUACUUUAGAAAAUGUUUUGGUGCUAAAGUCUUUGUAGAAUGUACUUGCAAUGUUAUUUCAAUUUUGCCUCAGAAUACAAAUAGGUUGAAGAGAUCAGCUUAGAAAUAGGAGAGUUCUAUUAAGAAAAAUACUUUGGGAAAUGUAUAAAGUCUUGAUUUAAAAAUGCAUGUAAUACUUGUACAGCUUUUCACGGCCAUUUUGAUAUAAACAUUAAAGCACACAAUCAAAACUUUGCUGUGAUGUCAAUAAAUAACUAGACAAUAAUAACGUGGUCUAAAAU
rnacentral:lncRNA from 1 species